rnacentral:lncRNA from 1 species
UGGAUGGUGGGAGUAGUUGGAGUAGUGGAAUAAUUGAAUUAAUCAACUUAAUAUUCAAGAUGUAGUAUUAGAAGGAAAACACUUCACGCAUGUCCCAUUUGUUGUACAGCUCUGAUUCUACCGUUUGUUUAAUAGAAGUGAACCGCCCAAACUUCAAUAAUAUGCUUAUGGAUAGGAAAACGUUGUCUGAAAUAUUAGAAACAUAUAUACCUUGUAUACUGUUUGUGUACAUACAUAUGUCCAAAAAACAUAUGGUAUACGAGAUUAGACAUGCCAUAAUUACGUGACAUAAAUGUUAAGAUCCAAAUAAAAUGCUCCAUCAACUCCUAUCUAUUCCUUAACUUCUUCGUCGAUACCUUACGUAAGUGUUGCUAUUUACGUUCAUCUUUUGAAGACCCUGAUUCUAUUUGCCAAUCAAGC